AGUGAACGCUGGCGGUAGGCCUAACACAUGCAAGUCGAACGGCAGCACAGUAAGAGCUUGCUCUUACGGGUGGCGAGUGGCGGACGGGUGAGGAAUACAUCGGAAUCUACUUUUUCGUGGGGGAUAACGUAGGGAAACUUACGCUAAUACCGCAUACGACCUACGGGUGAAAGCAGGGGAUCUUCGGACCUUGCGCGAUUGAAUGAGCCGAUGUCGGAUUAGCUAGUUGGCGGGGUAAAGGCCCACCAAGGCGACGAUCCGUAGCUGGGCUGAGAGGAUGAUCAGCCACACUGGAACUGAGACACGGCCCAGACUCCUACGGGAGGCAGCAGUGGGGAAUAUUGGACAAUGGGCGCAAGCCUGAUCCAGCCAUACCGCGUGGGUGAAGAAGGCCUUCGGGUUGUAAAGCCCUUUUGUUGGGAAAGAAAAGCAGCAGGUUAAUACCCCGCUGUUCUGACGGUACCCAAAGAAUAAGCACCGGCUAACUUCGUG
rnacentral:rRNA from 1 species